UUGAAGGCUGAAAUUCGCCUUCAUGAAGCUGGAAUUGCUAGUAAUGGCAGGUCAGCAUACUGCCGUGAAUACGUUCCCGGGCCUUGUACACACCGCCCGUCACACCAUGAGAGUUGGGAAUACCCGAAGCCUGUGAGCUAACUUUUUAAGAGGCAGCAGUCGAAGGUAGAAUCAAUGAUUGGGGUGAAGUCGUAACAAGGUAUC
rnacentral:rRNA from 1 species